CACGUAGAAGACUAGUGUUAUUCAUCUUUAUUAGGUUUAAAGGGUACCUAGACGGAAAAUCAAGCUAUAAUAAGUACUAAUUUUCUAGAGUUUUAUGAAAGAAGGGGUGAAUUUCCAGAGGAAAGUUGAUAUUUUGUGAUACUGGAAGGACGGGUAACGGGCGAAGGCUACCUUUUAUGUAAAAACUGACGUUGAGGGACGAAGCCUUGGGUAACGAGAAGG
rnacentral:rRNA from 1 species